rnacentral:rRNA from 1 species
UGAGGAAUCUUGGGCAAUGGGCGAAAGCCUGACCCAGCCAUGCCGCGUGCAGGAAGACUGCCCAAAGGGUUGUAAACUGCUUUUCUACGGGAAGAAACUCCCUAUUUCCAUAGGGACUGACGGUACCGUAGGAAUAAGCACCGGCUAACUCCGUGCCAGCAGCCGCGGUAAUACGGAGGGUGCAAGCGUUAUCCGGAAUCAUUGGGUUUAAAGGGUGCGUAGGCGGAGCAGUAAGUCAGUGGUGAAAGCCUACGGCUUAACCGUUGAAUUGCCGUUGAUACUGCUGCUCUUGAGUACGGCCGGAGUGGGCGGAAUGCGUCAUGUAGCGGUGAAAUGCAUAGAUAUGACGCAGAACACCGAUCGCGAAAGCAGCUCACUAGACCGUAACUGACGCUGAGGCACGAAAGCGUGGGGAGCGAACA